AGAAAAGUGUCAGCGCAUUAAAAAAGCCAAGCCAACAAAAUGAUCAAUUUCAUAAUAAGAAUUACAUUAAUAAUGAAAUUUGCCUUAGCCCUGAUAAAUACAGAAACAAAUCUGUGUAAUAGAACAUUUUCAAUUGAAUACACAGAAGAAAUUGAGAUGCCAUUGGAAGCAUAUGGUAAAACUGGUGAAUAUUUUCAGAAACUACAUAUUAAAGGAGAAAUUGUAAAUGUGACCAAAACUAAGGACGAAAUUCGUGAAGUUUGUUGUGAAGGCUAUAAGAAAACCGAUGAUGGCAGUAAUUUUUGCGUAAUUGAGGAAACCACAACUGAAAGUUCAACAGAAUCACUGAGCUCAACCACAGAGAGUUUCUUUUCCCCGGAAAUUUCGUCCACAGAGAGUGACGUCAUUUUGGACACAGUUCCAAAUAAAAUAAUGGGAGCCGAUAGGUCGAGCAAACAAGCCGUUACAUUUGUUUUUCAAUAUAUAUUAUAUGGAUUUUUAUGUGGUGUUCUUUUAGUUUCACCAAUAACAAUCGUAAUUUGGUUCAAAAACAGACGCAUUCGGGCAUUAAAUCACCAUUACUAUGUAAAUGAGCCACCCAUAUAUCUCGAUUAAACAAGGUUCUUAAAAAAAUAAACUUUAGGCAUUUAAAAGUAUAUAUAAAGUACAUCAAUUAAAUAUGUAUGUAUUUCUGAAUAAGAAAACCCGAAAAUGCUAACAUAAAUGGCAAAAAUACCCUAUGUUUAAGCGAGCUCUUAUCAGUUUACUUUUAAAUUCCUGCUGACCGAAUAAAUUGUUUUCUUAUCAUCCGCUCAGACUUAUGCAA